GGAAAGGUUGUAGCUCCAUGGCAGAGCUUCUGCUUUGCAUGCAGAAGAUCCCAGGGUCAAUCUCUUGCAUCUCCA